AACGCACAUUGCGCCCGGCAGUAAUCUGCCGGGCAUGCCUGUCCGAGCGUCAUUUCAACCCUCGAACCCCGGUUUUCUUUAUGGAUCCCGGGGAUCGGUGUUGGGGCACUACGGAGGUCUUCUGACCACCGUAGGCUUCGAAAUACAGUGGCGGUCCCGCCGCGGCGCCCUCUGCGUAGUAAUUUUCACCUCGCAUUGGGUCCCGGCGAAGGCCAGCCGUCAAACCCUCUAUUUUCUAUGGUUUGACCUCGGAUCAGGUAGGGUUACCCGCUGAACUUAA
rnacentral:misc_RNA from 1 species